UCCAGCAGCUGUAUCACCCUAUAUCACUCACAACUGGCAAUACACUGAAGCUCAGCAGGUGUGAGCCUGGUCAGUACCUGGAUGGGAGACUCCUGGGAAAGCUCAGGUUGCUGCUAGAA
rnacentral:rRNA from 1 species